rnacentral:rRNA from 1 species
UACGGAGGGUGCAAGCGUUAUCCGGAUUCACUGGGUUUAAAGGGUGCGUAGGUGGGCUAGUAAGUCCGUGGUGAAAUCUCCAAGCUUAACUUGGAAACUGCCGUGGAUACUAUUAGUCUUGAAUAUUGUGGAGGUAAGCAGAAUAUGACAUGUAGCGGUGAAAUGCUUAGAUAUGACAUAGAACACCGAUAGCGAAGGCAGCUUGCUACACAAUCAUUGACACUGAGGCACGAAAGCGUGGGGAUCAAACAGG